rnacentral:rRNA from 1 species
GACGAACGCUGGCGGCGUGCCUAAUACAUGCAAGUUGAGCGCUGAAGGUUGGUACUUGUACCAACUGGAUGAGCAGCGAACGGGUGAGUAACGCGUGGGGAAUCUGCCUUUGAGCGGGGGACAACAUUUGGAAACGAAUGCUAAUACCGCAUAAAAACUUUAAACACAAGUUUUAAGUUUGAAAGAUGCAAUUGCAUCACUCAAAGAUGAUCCCGCGUUGUAUUAGCUAGUUGGUGAGGUAAAGGCUCACCAAGGCGAUGAUACAUAGCCGACCUGAGAGGGUGAUCGGCCACAUUGGGACUGGGACACGGCCCAAACUCCUACGGGAGGCAGCAGUAGGGAAUCUUCGGCAAUGGACGAAAGUCUGACCAAGCAACGCCGCGUGAGUGAAGAAGGUUUUCGGAUCGUAAAACUCUGUUGGUAGAGAAGAACGUUGGUGAGAGUGGAAAGCUCAUCAAGUGACGGUAACUACCCAGAAAGGGACGGCUAACUACGUG